rnacentral:misc_RNA from 1 species
GAUGAAGAACGUAGCGAAAUGCGAUACGUAAUGUGAAUUGCAAAUUCAGUGAAUCAUCGAGUCUUUGAACGCACAUUGCGCCCCCUGGUAUUCCGGGGGGCAUGCCUGUCCGAGCGUCAUUGCUGCCCUCAAGCACGGCUUGUGUGUUGGGCCCCGUCCUCCGAUCCCGGGGGACGGGCCCGAAAGGCAGCGGCGGCACCGCGUCCGGUCCUCGAGCGUAUGGGGCUUUGUCACCCGCUCUGUAGGCCCAGCCGGCGCUUGCCGAUCAACCCAAAUUUUUAUCCAGGUUGACCUCGGAUCAGGUAGGGAUACCCGCUGAACUUAAGCAUAUCAAUAAGCGGAGGA